UUUAUGUAUGUUACAUCAGAACUUUUGACUGGGUGGAGCGAUUUCGACAAAUUUUCUUUUAAUCGAAAGGUGGUGUGUGCCAAUUGGUCCCAUUUAAAUUUAUUUGAGAUCUAACAACUACUUUUCGAAUUAUAUCUAAUAAUGUGUUUUUACUUGACGCUUUUUUCGUCGACCUACGUUGUAUUAUAACGCAUAACUUUCUACUGGAUGUACCGAUUUUGAUAAUUCUUUUUUUGUUGGAAAGGGGAUAUCCCUAGUUUGGUACCGUGAUAAGGAAACUAGGAUCUGAUGAUGGGAUCCCAGAGAAAUCGAGGGAA
rnacentral:misc_RNA from 1 species